rnacentral:lncRNA from 1 species
AUUGCCCAAGCCAUAUAAGGAAACCAAAGACCUCAAAUCCCUCCGAUGUGGGACAACUCAACCCCCCCCCCACGCCCAGACCUUUGAAGCGUGGACAACAUAAAUGGGGGCUCAACAUCGGUAACAAUAAUUGGGAUGGGUCUGACCCUGAUACCAUGUGAGAAAGCACGGGAGAAAUAUGAUAAUUGAUAUUAAACAUGAUACAAUGAGCCCUAUAUAUAUAUACACAUAACCUAUCCUACUCCUAAUACACAUUGAAUUAAGGUUCUACUAUUUACAUAUUCUAACAGGGAGAAUCCCUUGGAUUUUCAUCUUUAAGAACCUUAAUAAAGAUGCGGAAGACCUUGCAGCCUUUCCAUUCGUUAGGUUCAUGUCCAUAGAAAACUCCCAGAAAAAUUUGAGCUAACCCCUUUUGAUCUCGAGUGUCUAUAGCUUUCCCUUAUGGCUUUACUUAGUCAGAAAACUAAAUGCCUCUUGGUAAGAUCUUUAGCAACGUCCCCUAGUUAAUGAAAGACUCAAUAUGACAGACAUGUUAUUGACGUAUAGGCCUAACAAGGCAGUAUGGAAAAUCUGCUACCCUUAGUUCUUGCAAUGCUCCUGACAGAUUAUCUGUGGUACAUUUUACAUGGCAUAUUAGGUGACAACAUGUUUUUCUCAAACCAUUUGUCAUCUCCAUGUUACAAACUUAUAAGGCUUCACUAAUCAGGAAAAAAAAAUUAUAAGGUUUCAACUUUUGAUAGGACUAGGAGGCCCUUCAUAGAUCUUCGUAUACGGAACUUGAUCUUGCUUCUAGAAAUUGUGUCAUAUGGACUGGUUUGGUGGCACAAAUAUGAAGGUCUUUUCAGACAUACAUGACAAAUUCAGUUAGAAAAUCAUUGACUUUAUUCAGUUAAUCUUGAAUUCCCUUUCUCUUCUUCAUACAACCUCGUUGUCUCUCCAUUAAUAAAGUUUUUCAUAAUAAAUACACAAGAUAUACUGGAGCACUUGAGCUGCACUGGGAGAUAGCUCAUUACUCAAUUACAGAUCCCACGAGCACCCCAUUUUAAAAGAGCAUAUACUAACUCAACUAUCUAACUAAUACAUAUAUAACAUUAGAACUUGCCAUGCUUCUAAGCAAAUGGAGCAUCCCAUAAUCAAGAAAAUUAUUGCCCCACUUCAUCAUAACAUAAUCUGUUAACAUAUAAGUCAUGUAUAACUCAAGCAUACUCAAAUUUAACAUGUCGCUGCUUGAAUUAAAAAUCCAAUUGCCUCUUUAGUUUUCCCUCCACCAAACUUUGGGAGUCAUUUAAUUAAGCAUCGACAUGCACUGCAAAUGUAGCAGCGGAAGAAAAUAUUCAAGUAAUAAUUGAAAGCUAGUUUGAUAGAAAAAUAAGUCUUUUCAGUUUAUAAAGUUAAAUGAAUUUAAAUUUCUCGGACUUGUAUUAUUUGUUUAAAAUAAUAAUUUUAGUAGAAUGCAUCAAUCAAGAAUUCCCUUAUUCAGAUUUCAAAGAUAGAUGCAUACACAAACACGUCCAUCGCACUGGGGCAUGGGGAUGAUGUUCGAAAUCCAAUCAGAAUAAUCUCCUUAAUGAAAUCUGUAUAAUAAUAACAAGACAACUACAUAAAUUAUAACUGAGGGAGUAAUAUACAACCUUCAAUCAAUCAAUUAUGCCUCAAUCUCAUAUUAGUGGGAUCGACUAUAUUUUACAUUUAGUCCUCUCUGUUUGGGUCCAUGUCCUUCGGAUACCAACAAUUCGGUUAUUAAGGCACAUCUCAUAAAAAAUGGUUUUCUCAAGGCAAACUAGAGGUUUUGGAGGUUCUUUAAAUCUCAUACAUAUCCCUACCAGGGCAUGACGUCUCUUAACAAUAAUAACUGUGGUAAACAAAAGGCAACAAUAUAUUAAUUGUCAGAGAUGCCAAUUCUGACGUUCUUUACAACAUUAACAGUAACUCAAAAACCAUAAUGGAUAUAUUGAUCAGAAUUAGGGAGUUUUUCAGAUCUAACUAUAUUCAUGCCACAUUCUUAAUUUGAGGAGGUUACAAAAAAUACUAUUCUUUUUCCGGUAAAGGGGGACGAGAAUCAUGAGGUCUCAAGUUCGCGGAGACAAAAGGUGAUGUUUUCCGAUCUGUCUAUGCCUAAUAGGUAGAGUUACCCCGUACCCAUGCUAGAGGGAGAUAGCAUGUAGUCGGUACAACUAUCUGCCUAAUCCUGCUAGGCAGAGCUGCACCGAGAGAUAGCUCAUCACUCAAUUAUGGAUCCCACAAGCACGCCCAUUUUCAACAGAACAUACAUUGACUCUAUUAUCAAUCUAACAUAUAUCACAUGAAAAAUUGUCAUACUUCUAAACACAUGGAGUAUCCCAUAAUCGAGAAAAUCAGCACCCCAAUCAUUAUAUUAAGAAUCGAAUUUAAUAGUUAAUUUUACACAUGCACUACAAAUGUAGCAGCAGAAUGUUAAAGUAAUAACUGAAAGCUAGUUUGACAGAAAAUAGAAGUCUUUUCAGUUUAAAUAGUUAAAUGAAUUUAAAUUCCUGAGAGUUGUAAUUUUUGUUAAAAAUAAUAAUAUUACUAGAAUGCAUCAACCAAUAGUGCCAUAUAAAUUGAAACUAAGGAAGAAAUAUACAACCUUCAAUCAAACAUGCCUCGAUCUCAUAUUAGGGGGAUCGGCUAUAUGAGUUCUCCAUAUCUAUUCCUCUCUGUUUAGGUCCAUGUGAUUUGAACACUAAACAAUUUGGUUACUAAGACACUGCACAUAAAAAAUGGUUCAUAAAUUGAAAUUAAGGAAGAAAUAUACAACCUUCAAUCAACUAUGCCUUGAUCUCAUAUUAGGGGGAUCACCUAUAUGAGUUCUCCGUAUCUAUUCCUCUCUGUUUAGGUCCAUGUGAUUUGAACACUAAACAAUUUGGUUACUAAGACACUGCACAUAUAAAAUGGUUUACUUAAGGCAAACGACAUGUUUUUGAGGUUCUUUAGAUCUCAUACAUAUCCCUACAAUGACAUGAAAUCUCUUAAUAAUAACCUUGGUAAACAAAAGAUAACAAUAUAUUAAUAUCUGGAUUAUUUGAGGAGACUAGAAAAAAUAUUAUCGUUUCAACGAAAUGGGAGGAGAACUAUGAGGUAUCACUUAUUAGGUUAAAAUCCCAAUGGAAGCAAAAAAAUACAAAGUAAUUUCCUCCCAUCUGCGUAAGCCUGGUGUGUGGAGUUAUUUGAUACUUGUGUUGGUAUGAGGUAGCAACUAGCAAGUACCUCAUAGAAUAGUAGAGGCGCACACCAGAUGCGGAUGCAACCUUCAGUCAGUGGCAGAGGCAGUAUAUCCACGAAGGGGGUUCAAAAAAAAAAUUGUAGCUAGUGGGAAUUGAACCCAUAAUCUUAUGUAGAUUUUGAACCCCCUUGACCACUAAACUACACUUUUUGAUUGUGUUAAGGGUAUUCAAUACUGAAUAUAUAGAGGUAAAAAAUAGAUCUUGCCUUAUAUAUACAGUAUAAUUUUUCGGCGAACCGAACACCCUUGCGCCCCCCUAAAUCCGCCCCUGCCUUCAGAAAUAAUUUCAAUGCAGAAUCAAAUGUAAUAAAUAAUAAGUAUGAGCCCAUAAUUUUAGCAAUAUAAUUAAGAACUUUAAAGAUUGAAAUAUAGAGUUUAAAUUUCGGAUCCGCCGCCCACGCACGCAAGAUGGUCUGAACACCACUUGACCAAAAUUUGCACCCACUAACCAUAAAAGGGAAAACCCAAUUACUUGAGAUAAACACGAAACAUGCUUCGCUGCUAUUUAAUAAAAAUCAUAUUAGCUGUGCAGAUGAUUGACUGAAAUCUAUUACUACUUUCAUUCCAAUUGCAAGAGAACCCGACAAUAAGUUUUGACAAGAAUCUCAUCUUAAUCAUUCCUUAUUCUCUUUGCGUGUCUGUGUGUAUGUGUAUUCCUAAGACAAUUUUUCAGAAAUUGACAUAUAAUAUAGCAAGAGGAGAGAAAGGGAACUUACAAGUGGAUUCGGAGGAACUUCUUCACAGACUAAGGAGAGCGAUUGAAAAAGCUCCGUUAUGAUUUGAAAUGGG